rnacentral:rRNA from 1 species
GAAACUCAAAGGAAUUGACGGGUCCCCGCACAAGCAGCGGAGCGUGUGGUUUAAUUCGAUGCUACACGAAGAACCUUACCUGGGUUUGACAUAGAGGUAGUAGGGAAGCGAAAGCGGACCGACCCUUCGGGGAGCCUCUACAGGUGUUGCAUGGCUGUCGUCAGCUCGUGUCGUGAGAUGUUCGGUUAAGUCCGCUAACGAGCGCAACCCUCGCUGUGUGUUACAAGUGUCACACAGUACUGCCGAUAUUAAGUCGGAGGAAGGUGGGGAUGACGUCAAGUCAGCAUGACCUUUAUAUCCAGGGCUACACACACGCUACAAUGGCCAGUACAAUGGGUUGCCAAGCCGCGAGGCGGAGCCAAUCCUAAAAAGCUGGCCUCAGUUCAGAUUGCAGUCUGCAACUCGACUGCAUGAAGUUGGAGUUGCUAGUAACCGCAGGUCAGCAAUACUGCGGUGAAUACGUUCCCGGGGAUU